CCUACGGGGGGCAGCAGUGAGGAAUAUUGGUCAAUGGCCGGAAGGCUGAACCAGCCAUGCCGCGUGAAGGUCAGUGCCCUAUGGGCGUUAAACUUCUUUUGUGCGGGAGCAAUAAUGGUCACGUGUGGCCAGACGAGAGUACCGUACGAAUAAGCAUCGGCUAACUCCGUGCCAGCAGCCGCGGUAAUACGGGGGAUGCAAGCGUUAUCCGGAUUUAUUGGGUUUAAAGGGUGCGUAGGCUGUGAGGUAAGUCAGCGGUGAAAUGCCCCCGCUCAACGGGGUGAAGUGCCAUUGAUACUGCCUGGCUGGAAUGCGGAUGCGGUGGGAGGAAUGUGUGGUGUAGCGGUGAAAUGCAUAGAGAUCACACAGAACACCGAUUGCGAAGGCAUCUCACGAAUCCGCGAUUGACGCUGAUGCACGAAAGCGUGGGUAUCAAACAGGAGUAGAUACCCGAGUAGUC
rnacentral:rRNA from 1 species